UUGGUGGUGGCCCGGAGGGGGCGGUCCCACCCAGAGCAGCCUGCGCUGCUGUCACAUCCGCUGGUGCCGCUCUCGCUGUUCCCUCAGUGGUUUCCUGAGGGGAGAGAGAUCUCCUGAGGGGAGAGGGAUCGCCGGGCUCCCGGGAGAAGCUCCGCGCCACGCUCCGAUGGGCUCCCAGGACCAUAUAUGGUCCCUCUAUAUCGCCAGCCUGCAUCCUGCUGUUUCCAUAAGGGAAGAAACAAAAGCGGUGUAUAACCAGAACUGGUGUUAUUUCAGCUUUUUCCUAUACAAGGAAAUGGGAAGACAGUGAAAAAUGUUGGAAUCUGUGCAUAGUUUUCAGCUUGUAUGCCACACACACUAUAGGGUUACAUAAUGAAGUGAGGCAAAAGGGAAAGUGUGGGAAUUAAGCAGUGGUUUCUGAAGAGAGAGACCUGAGGCUUUGCAGAGGCUUCUUAGACAAGCACUGCAAGCACUAUGCAACAAGAUUUUCAUACAGUGUCCAGUUUCCUGACCUGCUGCUGCAGCUUGCAAGAAAUAAAUAAAAAAAUUUGUGACAAACACCUGAGGACUUUCCAUUUCCUCCAGAGAUGCUGCUGUUUAAAAAAGAAAUCAAAAAUAAUCAUUACAGUUAAUUACUGUCCUGGAGAUUUCUGGCCCUGCUGAGGAGCAUCCUCUGAGCCACAAAGAACCCACAAGGAGGAACCCAUCCUGGACCACACCUGG